rnacentral:rRNA from 1 species
CCUACGGAGGCAGCAGUGGGGAAUUUUCCGCAAUGGGCGAAAGCCUGACGGAGCAACGCCGCGUGAGGGAUGAAGGCCUCUGGGCUGUAAACCUCUUUUAUCAAGGAAGAAGAUCUGACGGUACUUGAUGAAUAAGCCACGGCUAAUUCCGUGCCAGCAGCCGCGGUAAUACGGGAGUGGCAAGCGUUAUCCGGAAUUAUUGGGCGUAAAGCGUCCGCAGGCGGUCUUGUAAGUCUGUCGUUAAAGCGUGGAGCUUAACUCCAUUUCGGCGGUGGAAACUACAAGACUAGAGUGUGGUAGGGGCAGAGGGAAUUCCCGGUGUAGCGGUGAAAUGCGUAGAUAUCGGGAAGAACACCAGUGGCGAAGGCGCUCUGCUGGGCCAUAACUGACGCUCAUGGACGAAAGCUAGGGGAGCGAAAGGGAUUAGAUACCCCUGUAGUCCUAGCCGUAAACGAUGAACACUAGGUNUCGGGGGAAUCGACCCCCUCGGUGUCGUAGCUAACGCGUUAAGUGUUCCGCCUGGGGAGUACGCACGCAGUGUGAACUAAUAGUAGUAGACGCGUGAGACGUCGCCGACGGACGACGACGAGGGAGUAGG